UGCCCCCGUAGACGAAUGGUUAAGUCGCUGCUCUUUCAAAGCGGAGAUUGCGGGUUCAAGUCCCGUCGGGGGUAU
rnacentral:tRNA from 1 species